GCUUGUCUCAAAGAUUAAGCCAUGCAUGUCUAAGUAUAAACAAAUUUGUACUGUGAAACUGCGAAUGGCUCAUUAAAUCAGUUAAAGUUUAUUUGAUAGUACCUUACUACUUGGAUAACCGUAGUAAUUCUAGAGCUAAUACAUGCGAAAAGACCCGACUUUUUGGAAGGGUUGUAUUUAUUAGAUAAAAACCAAUGCCUCGUGCUUUUGGUGAGUCAUGAUAACUGCGCGGAUCGCAUGGCCUUGCGCCGGCGACGCUUCAUUCAAAUUUCUGCCCUAUCAACUUUCGAUGGUAAGAUAGAGGCUUACCAUGGUGUUAACGGGUAACGGGGAAUUGGGGUUCGAUUCCGGAGAGGGAGCCUGAGAAAUGGCUACCACUUCCAAGGAAGGCAGCAGG
rnacentral:rRNA from 1 species